AGUGAACGCUGGCGGUAGGCCUAACACAUGCAAGUCGAACGGCAGCACAGUAAGAGCUUGCUCUUACGGGUGGCGAGUGGCGGACGGGUGAGGAAUGCAUCGGAAUCUACUUUUUCGUGGGGGAUAACGUAGGGAAACUUACGCUAAUACCGCAUACGACCUACGGGUGAAAGCAGGGGAUCUUCGGACCUUGCGCGAUUGAAUGAGCCGAUGUCGGAUUAGCUAGUUGGCGGGGUAAAGGCCCACCAAGGCGACGAUCCGUAGCUGGUCUGAGAGGAUGAUCAGCCACACUGGAACUGAGACACGGUCCAGACUCCUACGGGAGGCAGCAGUGGGGAAUAUUGGACAAAGGGCGCAAGCCUGAUCCAGCCAUACCGCGUGGGUGAAGAAGGCCUUCGGGUUGUAAAGCCCUUUUGUUGGGAAAGAAAAGCAGCAGGUUAAUACCCCGCUGUUCUGACGGUACCCAAAGAAUAAGCACCGGCUAACUUCGUG
rnacentral:rRNA from 1 species